rnacentral:miRNA from 1 species
AGGGGUCUUGGCCUCUGCCCAG